CCUACGGGAGGCAGCAGUAGGGAAUCUUCCGCAAUGGACGAAAAUCUGACGGAGCAACGCCGCGUGAGUGAUGAAGGCUUUCGGGUCGUAAAACUCUGUUGUUAGGGAAGAACAAGUACGAGAGUAACUGCUUGUACCUUGACGGUACCUAACCAGAAAGCCACGGCUAACUACGUGCCAGCAGCCGCGGUAAUACGUAGGGUGCAAGCGUUAAUCGGAAUUACUGGGCGUAAAGCGUGCGCAGGCGGUUUUGUAAGUCUGACGUGAAAUCCCCGGGCUCAACCUGGGAAUUGCGUUGGAGACUGCAAGGCUGGAGUCUGGCAGAGGGGGGUAGAAUUCCACGUGUAGCAGUGAAAUGCGUAGAGAUGUGGAGGAACACCGAUGGCGAAGGCAGCCCCCUGGGUCAAGACUGACGCUCAUGCACGAAAGCGUGGGGAGCAAACAGGAUUAGAUACCCUGGUAGUCCACGCCCUAAACGAUGUCUACUAGUUGUCGGGUCUUAAUUGACUUGGUAACGCAGCUAACGCGUGAAGUAGACCGCCUGGGGAGUACGGUCGCAAGAUUAAAACUUAAAGGAAUUGACGG
rnacentral:rRNA from 1 species